rnacentral:tRNA from 1 species
GUUGUGGCUCAGUGGUAGAGUGCUUGCCUAGCAGGCAUGAAGCACUGGGUUUGAUCCCUGGCACAACA